rnacentral:rRNA from 1 species
UACGUAGGGUGCAGGCGUUAAUCGGAAUUACUGGGCGUAAAGCGUGCGCAGGCGGUUUGCUAAGACAGGUGUGAAAUCCCCGGGCUUAACCUGGGAACUGCGCUUGUAACUGGCAAGCUAGAGUGUGGCAGAGGGGGGUGGAAUUCCACGUGUAGCAGUGAAAUGCGUAGAGAUGUGGAGGAACACCGAUGGCGAAGGCAGCCCCCUGGGGCUAACACUGACGCUCAUGCACGAAAGCGUGGGGAG